rnacentral:rRNA from 1 species
CAAUAGCGUAUAUUAAAGUUGUUGCAGUUAAAAAGCUCGUAGUUGAAUUUUUGCUUGCCGCCGAUGUCGGAACUUCCGUACGUUCGGCGGCGUGCAUCCUUGGGUGGAACCUGUGUGGCAUUAGGUUGUCGUGCAGGGGAUGCUCAUCGUUUACUGUGAAAAAAUUAGAGUGUUCAAAGCAGGCUUACGCCGUUGAAUAUAUUAGCAUGGAAUAAUAAGAUAGGACCUUGGUGCUAUUUUGUUGGUUUGCGCACCGAGGUAAUGAUUAACAGGGACAGUUGGGGGUAUUCGUAUUCCAUUGUCAGAGGUGAAAUUCUUGGAUUUCUGGAAGACGAACUACUGCGAAAGCAUUUACCAAGGAUGUUUUCAUUAA